CCUACGGGAGGCAGCAGUGAGGAAUAUUGGUCAAUGGACGAGAGUCUGAACCAGCCAAGUAGCGUGAAGGAUGACUGCCCUAUGGGUUGUAAACUUCUUUUAUAAAGGAAUAAAACGAGGCACGUGUGCCUUUUUGCAUGUACUUUAUGAAUAAGGAUCGGCUAACUCCGUGCCAGCAGCCGCAGUAAUACGGAGGAUCCGAGCGUUAUCCGGAUUUAUUGGGUUUAAAGGGAGCGUAGAUGGGUUGUUAAGUCAGUUGUGAAAGUUUGCGGCUCAACCGUAAAAUUGCAAUUGAUACUGGCAGUCGUGAGUACAGUUGAGGUAGGCGGAAUUCGUGGUGUAGCGGUGAAAUGCUUAGAUAUCACGAAGAACCCCGAUUGCGAAGGCAGCUUACUAAACUGUGACUGACAUUGAUGCUCGAAAGUGUGGGUAUCAAACAGGAUUAGAUACCCGAGUAGUC
rnacentral:rRNA from 1 species